UGAGUGCGAGACUCGAGAGAAGAAAUUCAAACGAACACAAACAAAGGAGGAAUAAAACAAGCAAGGGAGCCGUUUCAAAGACAAAUCCCACCUACUACUAUUACUACUACUAAAGAAGAGGAAGCAGCUCCGACUCUGUACCCCAUUGAGUAAACAUCGUGACGCCGACGAAAUUAUAUAAUCAAUCAAAAUGAAACUCAGCUCCGGCACAACGCAGAGAUUACAGUCGGUUAUUCAGCUAGGAAAAACUGUCUUCCAUUAUGGCUUUGUUCCAGCAAUCCUCUACUUAGGUUUUUAACCAGGUGCUGAUAAAGGAUCACCACCCCUUACCUUUGGAAACAUCAUCUGGUAACUUGGGAAUGUGGAUGGGUCGUGAGCUGCUUGCAUUUUAGCCAAAACGAGAUAGUUUUGUUACUUUCUUUGCUCUACAUCUUUGUUACAAUACUGUAAUUUUAUAAAAGUUAUCAUUUUUCUGUUUAUUCCAUUUGUUGGUGCACAUGAUACCUAAUUCAGCAGUGAGUUUU